GCGCACACACACACACACACAGAGUUAUAUAUAUACACUCCACCACCCCACGUCUUCUUCUAAUCCACUGACCGUGCCCAGGGACCAGCUCCCAACCCAAAACAAAGGGUGUCUGGCGUUCAAACCUUCCUCCUUCCCUCCUACUGCCCGAGGUCCACUUUUCUCAAUCUCUUCUCAGCCUUUCAGGCUUUUUCUUGAACUUCCAGUUCUCCUGCUGUGACUCUCCUCACUGCAUGGAAACCAAGAACCUUUCUGCUGUCUCGACGUUUCCACCUCAAAUUGCUAAAUGUCGUGCGUUCAACACAGAGGCGGGACAGCCAUCUGCUUUGAGCCAGCGAGUAAGCAUUUCAGCUUCAUCAGGCGUUGGCCAUACAGCAGAAAUGAACACCACGUUGUGAGCAACUCUACUUCAAUAAAAAUAAACUUUUUAAAAGAGAGUUGGAGACCUGAGUAUUUACACUGGGGUCUUCAUAUGCAUCUAUCGCAAUGGAUUAACCCAAUGUGGAAGUACAACCCACUUGGGUGCACCUUCCUGCACCCAUGGAGGCUGGGCUGCCCCACCCUGUCCGGCCCGGCUUUGUGCCUGAGUCCAUGGAAGAAGGUCGGAGGUGCUGUGUCUCACCCACAGUGUCUGUGAGCGUGGAGACCCCCGUGUCUCUGCUCUGAAAAUUGACUUCUGUUCUUCUUUCCUUCUCCCUGCAGACCCCGGAUGAGGGAGCCUGGACCUCCGUCUACGCGGCGGUCACCCCAGCGCUGGAAGGCCGUGGCGGCUGCUAUCUUUACAACGAGAAAGAGACCAAGUCUCUGGCGGUCACGUACGACCUGAAGCUUCAGCGACAGCUGUGGGCCAGAAGUUGCCAGAUGACGGGCAUCACCGAUGUGACCCAGGAGGUCCUCUAGGGUUAGCCACCCGCCGGGGAGACCAUGUUCUGCCAGGCGUGCACAGGUGUGUCUGCUGGACCACGUGUCUGCGUCGUUCACAUCCCCCGCCCUUGGGGCUCUGUCUCCCCAGCGUCUCCCAUCGGCUUCCUUGCCCUGGGCCGGAACUUGAGGAGAAGAGGAAUGCUGAGUGCGACCCCAAACAGCUGGCCCUCAGCCAUGAAUCUCGUGAUCCCCACCGUGUCCAGUUGUACCGGGUGCCCUGAGUCAUUAAACCCUGCCAGCCACGCAGGAGGUGUUCUUGCUUAGCACAGAGGCGCCGAGGACCCUGGGGUAGAAACAUCCGGGUGAAACAAACAGUUUCAAGGAGGCCUGGAACUGUUGGGCGCUGGUGGCUUUGAGGGUGUCCUGUGUCCCCUGUUCUCUCACUCACAAUUUGUGCCAGAGGUGCGGCUCUGAUUUGUGGGUCCUGGAAAGGGAGAGACGUGAGCCUUCCUUAGUCUGUUGAUCAAGGGUCAUGUGACCACCCUACCCGUCUGCCCCACCAUCUUUAGGGGGACCAGGUCCUAGGGGCUUCCUGCCGCUGUUAGGGCAUCUAUCAGGGCUCUCACCCCGUGACUCAUGGCAAGACCCUCAACAGAGGGGUAGGGAAUUCUGUAGGACACGGGGUAAGAAAGGGGGCCUGGACACCUGUCACCGUGGGGUCUGUGGGACAGGGUUGGGGCCUGGACCCUGUCACCAUGGGGUCUGUAGGACGGGGCCUGGACACCUGUCACCAUGGAGUCUGUGGGAUGGGGCCUGGACACCUGUCACCAUGGGGUCUGCGGGACGGGGCCUGGACACCUGUCACCAUGGGGUCUGUGGCACAGGGAUGGGACCUGGACACCUGUCACCAUGGGGUCUGUGGGACGGGGCCUGGACAUCUGUCACCAUGGGCAUCUGUAGGAUGGAGCCUGGACACCUGCACCAUGGGGUCUGUAGGAUGGAGCCUGGACACCUGUCACCAUGGGGGUCUGUGGGACAGGGCGUGGACACCUGUCACCAUGGGCAUCUGUGGGAUGGAGCCUGGACACCUGUCACCGUGGGGUCUGUAGGAUGGAGCCGGGAUACCUCUGACCAUGGGGUCUGUAGGACGGGGCCUGGACUCCUGUCACCAUGGGGUCUGUAGGAUGGAGCCUGGAUACCUGUCACCAUGGGGUCUGUAGGAUGGGGCCCGGACACCUGUCACCAUGGGGUCUGUAGGACGUGGCCUGGACACCCGUCACCAUGGGGUCUGUGGGAUGGGGCCUGGACACCUGUCACCGUGGGGUCUGUAGGAUGGAGCCUGGACACCUGUCACCAUGGGGUCUGUAGGAUGGGGCCUGGACACCUGUCACCAUGAGGUCUGGCACAGGGACGGGGCCUGGACACCUGUCACCGUGGGGUCUGUGGGACAGGGACGGGCACGGGGCCUGGACUAAACCAAUCAUGGGAUUCAGCUGCACAGCGUUUGCCGGUCUGCACAUUCCCCCACCAUUUUUUAGGGCCUUAGUCUAAGAAUGGCAGCUUUGCUGCCCACUUGCCCUUCAGUGGUCACAUGAAGCCUCUCUUCUGGUAUCUGCUUCUUCAUUUCAUCGUCUGUUAACACAGGCACGUUCCUCUCCUGGAGAUGUGUGCAGGGCUUGGAUUCUACUUCAGACCACGACACUAAUGUAAUAACAACAAUCAUGUCGAAUGCCCCGUGCUUCCCUGGAUUUGGGUGCCCGUCGCAGUCUGUCAGGCUCUUCCUGAACUAGUUUCCCCGUGGACCUUCCAGGGUCUGCAGACACCUCCUCUUUCAGCAGCGUGACGGCCGCCCUCUACACCUUGGAAACAGGUCAGUGGUGGGACCAUCCUGGUUUCAUCCAGUUCCCUCUGUAGUGGCUUGAAUGGUGGCUUCUCAAGAUACAUGUCCACAUCCUAAGCCCUGAAACCUGCAGCUGUGUUCCCGUUGGGACAAGGCUCAUUGCAGACGUCAUGAAGGCCCUAAGAUGAGGACACCAUCCUGGCUUAUCCAGAUGAACAAGACGUUAUGAGUUCUGUGUCGUGCAACCAGGAGACGGUGGUGUAAAAGGACAGGAGACCAGGACGUGUACGUUUGAGGUCCUCACCUCCUCGCCUGCAUCCUGCUGUGGUUGGCAGAGCUGAGACCGCAGCGUCUGGGACUGUUCAUGUGGUGGCCUGAGAGGAACAAACCAGGGCCCCUUCUGCAGGUGUGCAGACUCUGCAGGACGUCCGCUCGGAUAAGAAACAUCCUGACACCCUUCCCGGGAGAACCAUAGGGUGACAAGGAGGCUCCCGGGGACCAUGGACCAGCACGAGGAAGAGAGCUGCCAGAGGGUCAGACAUUCCUGACCCCCUUCAUCGCAGUUGCAGGAGAGGUGAUGAUUAUGGCGUGAAGCCACAAGACGAUUUGUGGGUCCUGGUGGCCUGUGGCUCAGAUCACUGUGUGAAGAUGGGGGCACGUGGUCCCAGUGGAAGACCCUGCUUAUUCAAACAGCUCACUAUUAUGUCGUGUAUAAGAGUGUCCUGGGCGGCUGUAACACAGGACCACAAACUGGGAGUCUGAAAAGAACAGAAAUUCAUCCAGCCCCAGGUCCUGGAGACCAGAUGUCUGAGGUCAAGGUGUCCCAGAGCUGUGCUCCCUUCAGAGGCUCCAGGGGAGGAUCCUUCCCACCUCUUCCAGCUUCUGGGGGCUCCAGGUAUCCCUGGGCUUGUGGCCGCAUCCCUCCCAUCGCUGCCUGUGUCUUCAUGUGGCUUCUCCUCUGUGCCUGUGUCUCUCCUAUUCUGUGUCUUAUAAGGACACUGUCAUUGGAUGUAGGGCCACCCUCAUCCAGGCGGACCUCAUCUCAGACCCUUCACUUCCAUCCGGAUAAUCAAGAAUGAUCUCUUCAUCUCAAGAUCCUUCAUUAGUUACAUCUGUCAAGAGCCUUUUGCCGACAAAGUCAUAUCCACAGGUAACAGGGUUUAGGACGUGGUCAUAUCUUUUUGGUAGAAAAUAUUCAAUCCACUGCAUGGUACAUGAACUGGAUACUUGGAAACUCAGGAAACAUCCAUUCCUUUUCUGGUGAACUGGAAAGCCGCGGAGGUCACGGCUUCUUCUAUAUGUACCCAAGGCCGCUUUCCUGGGUGAGUGACCCAUGUCACCCAUGGGACCCUGGGCUCAUAAGGACGCCUAUUGGCUUAAUGCCCUAUGACCGCCAUCUUGAAAUUCUUAACGAAGCGUGAACAAGGACCCACAUUUUCAUUUUGCCCUGGAACUGCAAAUGCGAUAGCCCUCUUUGCUCACAUUCCUUCCAACCUCAAGAAAGAGGAGCAAGUCUGCACCCAAUAAGGACACCCCCACCCCCAGCACACCCUCCAUCCAGCCACUGAUGUGUUCAAACCUACCUUUCGUGGGUGGUGAAGACCUCUCCCCAAGAUCCAGUAAGGCUGGUGGGUUUUGGCUGCACGCUGGGGGAGCCUCUGAAAACCACUAAUGCUCAGCUCCACCAUCAACAGAAUCCCCAAGUUCGUUCCUCUGGGCAACGGCAUUUCUUAGACCUCCUCAAGCCAUCCUCUUGUUCAGCCAAGUUUGAGGCCCUCUGGGCCGGGCAAACGCAGACUGAAGCUUCCAGCCCUGAGUGCCAGCCCCUCCCAGAACUGCUCAGAUGUUCUUCUAAGCCCUACAGCCCCGACUGAUGUGUUUCAGAACUAGAAUUACUUUGUAUGUUCAAACCAAGAUGGAGACAAGCCUUGUCUAAUAUUCCCGGACAGCCAGGAUGAUGUACUGCAAAGCAGGAUCUUGACUUCCAGGAGGAUCCCGACCUUGGAGCGUUUGCACAUCACUAGAGAGCCCUUUGCGGCUUGAGGUCAUGGCACACAAGCGCCAGCUACUCUUAGCGGCGUCACAAAGUCGGCUCCCAAGCACAGACUCGGGAUGGGUCCUGGCCAGUCCGACACCCUCUGUCACUCUGAGAACAAGCUUGCUGGCCCCUGAGAGAUGCUGCAGUCCCUGGGCGAAGAUAGGCUCUGAGAGCAAUUUGGACUGUGUAGGACCCUGGCCUCACAGGGCCCCUCCUCUUUGCAUGACCGGCCUCAUGUCGCUCGUCCACCAGGGGAGAGAGAGGACACAGUUCUGGAGAAGUUACCGUGUUCCCUCGACACCCGAUUGGGGAACAUUCCUCAGAGCUCAGAGACACUUCCCAGCAGCUGGAGAAGUCUCAUGGACCACUGGAAACUCAGGAGAGUCGCUCGACUCUAUGGAAGACCCUAUUGAAUACGCAGAAAAUGGAAGUGGGAUGGUCCAAAUCCACAGAGACGAACUCCCGUGCCAUGUGUAGAAUCGUUGACUCAGUCCCUGGUGGUCCAGUGUCAUCACAUGGGUCCCUGUAAAGAGGACGUCAGAGGAGUAUUUGACUACAAGAUGCUGAGCUGCUCGUUUUGAUGAUCAAGGAAGGGGCCACAAGCUCAGGAUGGCAGACGCCUCCAGCAGGUGGAAAAGGAAGGAAAUAGAUUCUCCCCUGGAGCCUCCGGAGUAACCAGCCUGCGGAUCCCUUGAGUUUAGAGCUUUAAAACGAACCAGGGGACUCGAACACAGGAAGCAGUGCCACUCGAGGACGUCAGGGCAGUGCUGACAGCCUGUCAAGGAUAAGUCAAGGAUUCAGCAGUGUCCAUCACAAACCUUUCCUUCUCUCUGAUUGCCUGAGAUUUCUGGGAUCCUGCUGAGUCACUAGGGACGUGAAAUCAUAACUAGAAGAAACACCACCACCAAUGAAACAAUGUGUCACAUCUCAGCGUACGUGGUCGACCCUUCCUGACAACAUCUCAUAACCGCAGAACAGAGGAGAUGCCUGUGUUAUCCCGACGUAAAUAUGGACCCCACGAGAAACCAGCUCUUUGGACCCACAGUAACAGUUCCUGGGAGGGCAUUAUUGGGGGGUGGAUUUGGUAACAGCUCCUGGGAGGGCAUUAUUGGGGGGUGGAUUUUCCCAAGAUGCUGCUUACGAGUCAUUCCUUGGAGAACCCGAGAUUGUAGAGAAUACUGAUCCAGAUCACGGGAUGGGGGUGACCUAAAAUGGACCCUAGGGGAAAAACAGUUAAGUGUGGGUAUUAUGGCUCUACCUGUCCAACCAAACAAGGGAUGGUGGAUUUAUGAAUGAACAGACGCUGUCCCCACAGGAUGGUCUACUUAGCAACUGGCUCCUCCCUCCCUGGGGCCAUGUGUCACUAUUCAGCCCAUGAGAGUCAGGGUAGUUCAGAGGGUACUUGCUGAGGUUGCAGACCUGGAGCUCCAGGAUUUGGGGGAAGUUGGUGCCCAGAAUUGUCCCUUCCUUUUCUUCUCCUUUUCACGAGGAGGCUCAGCUCAUCCACGGGUGUGGAGAGUUCAGGCCUGCAGGCUGGCUCAGGGUCCACGAGGAUGGAUGUCCACCUCACCAAGCACUGUAGGGAGGCAUAGGGUCAUCAGUGAAGGGCUUCAAAGAAGCAUGAAAAGCCGCGUGCACAGAUCCCCAUGAUGAUGGAGGUGACAGACUGUCCACUGAGCAUCUCCAGUUUCCUAUCAUGGGUCCUACAAGUGCGUUUUCGUUUCCUCCUAUCCUUAGGGUGUAUUUCUUAAUACGGAUGAGCAUCUGAAAUUAGGCUGUGAUGUUGUCUGAUUCUUGUGCCCCCUCCCCUUGAAGGUGGGUGUGAUCUAACUCACUGUGACACAAGAGCGUCCAGCCGGUCCAUCAGGAUGGUCUCCAGUGACAGGGUCCUGAGGAGGAGUCUUAAGGAAAGUGAUACGUGGUCUUCAAUGUCUUGAGUCUGAAGGGAAGCAGCCUCGAAGAAAAAAGAGGGCUAUUAAAGCAGGAAGCAGAAUAAUGGUUGCCAGGGGCUGGCCGUGGAGGAACCAUGUCAGCAACAAAAUGACAAGAGAGCAUGGAAAUGUACACAACUCACUGGGGGUGCUGAUUCCACAACCGUGCACAGGGCUCAAAACUCACCCACCUGUCCACCUGAAAGGGCUGCUUUUACUGAAAACAAUUACGUCUCAGUAAACUUGAAUAGAAAACAAAAGGAGCCUCAUCGUUUUCAUUCCUUUCCUGCAUGAGCAGCACUAAGUCCAGCGAGUCAGAUGGGUGAAGAUACGCACAAGCGAUUCUUUCAUUUUUACAUAAAAAAUCUGUGCUGUUGCUGUUUACAACAGCCAAGACACAGAAGCAACCUAAACAUCCACCAAGAGAGGAAUCAAUAAAGAAGAUGUGGUUCAUAUAUA